AGGCUUUAUGAAAGGAGAGAAGAUUAGCACUGCCCUUGACAAGGAUGGAAGAGGCUCUUUGGACGACAACACACAUACAGUGAGCAUAAGGACCUCAUUCUAGACUUUGGCCCCAAAAUGUUGC
ensembl:snRNA